rnacentral:rRNA from 1 species
AUGCACGCUGGCGGCGUGCCUAAUCCCUGCCAGUCGAGCGAACAGACGAGGAGCUUGCUCCUCUGACGUUAGCGGCGGACGGGUGAGUAACACGUGGAUAACCUACCUAUAAGACUGGGAUAACUUCGGGAAACCGGAGCUAAUACCGGAUAACAUGUUGAACCGCAUGGUUCAACAGUGAAAGACGGUCUUGCUGUCACUUAUAGAUGGAUCCGCGCCGCAUUAGUUAGUUGGUAAGGUAACGGCUUACCAAGGCAACGAUGCGUAGCCGACCUGAGAGGGUGAUCGGCCACACUGGAACUGAGACACGGUCCAGACUCCUACGGGAGGCAGCAGUAGGGAAUCUUCCGCAAUGGGCGAAAGCCUGACGGAGCAACGCCGCGUGAGUGAUGAAGGUCUUCGGAUCGUAAAACUCUGUUAUUAGGGAAGAACAAAUGUGUAAGUAACUAUGCACGUCUUGACGGUACCUAAUCAGAAAGCCACGGCUAACUACGUG